rnacentral:rRNA from 1 species
AUUGAACGCUGGCGGCAGGCUUAACACAUGCAAGUCGAGCGAGCGGCGGACGGGUGAGUAAUGUAUGGGAAUGUGCCCGCUAGUGGGGGAUAACUACUGGAAACGGUGGCUAAUACCGCAUACUAUCGGAGGAACCCAUAUGGGAUUAGCUAUUAGGGGGGGUAAAGGCGCACAGAGGCGACGAUCUCUAGCUGGUCUGAGAGGAUGAGCAGCCCAACUGGGACUGAGACACGGCCCAGUCGCCUACGGGAGGCAGCAGUGGGGAAUAUUGAGCAAUGGGCGAGAUCCUGAUCCAGCCAGCCCGCGGGUAUGAUGAAGGCCUUCGGGUUGUAAAGUACUUUCAGCGGGGAGGCGUUACCCGCAGAAUAAGCACCGGCUAACUACGUGCCAGCAGCCGCGGUAAUUC